rnacentral:rRNA from 1 species
UAGGGAAUCUUCGGCAAUGGACGAAAGUCUGACCGAGCAACGCCGCGUGAGUGAAGAAGGUUUUCGGAUCGUAAAACUCUGUUGUUAGAGAAGAACAAGGACGUUAGUAACUGAACGUCCCCUGACGGUAUCUAACCAGAAAGCCACGGCUAACUACGUGCCAGCAGCCGCGGUAAUACGUAGGUGGCAAGCGUUGUCCGGAUUUAUUGGGCGUAAAGCGAGCGCAGGCGGUUUCUUAAGGCUGAUGUGAAAGCCCCCGGCUCAACCGGGGAGGGUCAUUGGAAACUGGGAGACUUGAGUGCAGAAGAGGAGAGUGGAAUUCCAGGUGUAGCGGUGAAAUGCGUAGAUAUAUGGAGGAACACCAGUGGCGAAGGCGGCUCUCUGGUCUGUAACUGACGCUGAGGCUCGAAAGCGUGGGGAGCAAACAGG